GACGAACCGUGCGAACGUUGUUCGGAAUCACUGGGCUUAAAGGGCGCGUAGGCGGCUUCGCAAGUCCGGGGUGAAAGCCCCCAGCUCAACUGGGGAAGGGCCUCGGAUACUGCGGAGCUGGAGGGAGGUAGGGGUCGCGGGAACUUCCGGUGGAGCGGUGAAAUGCGUUGAUAUCGGAAGGAACGCCGGUGGCGAAGGCGGGUUGCUGGGCUGACACUGACGCUGAUGCGCGAAAGCCAGGGGAGCGAACGGG
rnacentral:rRNA from 1 species